rnacentral:lncRNA from 1 species
CAUUAUCAACUCUAACAUCAAGUAAUGAUCAGGCUAUUACUGAACCUUCAAUUUUUUUUUGGAGGGGUAAGGAGAAGGGCCAAAGCCAUAUUAUAACAAGGAUAAUAAGGGUUUACAAACCACUUGGGACACAAGCCACAAAUAUACAAAGCAAAGGUGGAGGAGUAAGAUAUUACAACAUAAUAUAAAGAGAAGUAAUAUAGUCAUUAUAAACCAGUAAAUGGCCAACCAGUCAAGUGAAAGAGAAGAUCCGGCACACAUUUACUACUGAAUACCUAGAUCAAGCAACUAGAGCAUGA